rnacentral:rRNA from 1 species
UUUAACGGCCGCGGUAUUUUGACCGUGCGAAGGUAGCGUAAUCACUUGUCUUUUAAAUGAAGACCCGUAUGAAUGGCACGACGAGGGCCACGCUGUCUCCUUUAUCUAGUCAAUGAAAUUGAUCUACCCGUGCAGAAGCGGGUAUACCACCAUAAGACGAGAAGACCCUAUGGAGCUUUAGACACCAGAUCAAACCGAGUAAAGACCCCUAAGUUAAUAGGAAUAAACCACACGGACCCUUGCUCAAUUGUCUUCGGUUGGGGCGACCGCGGGGAAAAACUAAACCCCCGCACGGAACGGGAUAACACCCCUGAGACCAGCNCUACAGGCCUAGUCAACAGAACGUCUGGCCAUCAAGAUCCGGCAACGCCGAUCAACGGACCCAGUUACCCUAGGGAUAACAGCGCAAUCCCCUUUUAGAGCUCACAUC